rnacentral:rRNA from 1 species
ACAGCAGCCGCGGGAAUACGUAGGUCCCGAGCGUUGUCCGGAUUUAUUGGGCGUAAAGCGAGCGCAGGCGGUUAGAUAAGUCUGAAGUUAAAGGCUGUGGCUUAACCAUAGUACGCUUUGGAAACUGUUUAACUUGAGUGCAAGAGGGGAGAGUGGAAUUCCAUGUGUAGCGGUGAAAUGCGUAGAUAUAUGGAGGAACACCGGUGGCGAAAGCGGCUCUCUGGCUUGUAACUGACGCUGAGGCUCGAAAGCGUGGGGAGCAAACAGGAUUAGAUACCCGUGUAGUCCCUGUCUCUUAUACACAU